rnacentral:misc_RNA from 1 species
UGAAGAACGCAGCGAAAUGCGAUAAGUAAUGUGAAUUGCAGAAUUCAGUGAACCAUCGAAUCUUUGAACGCACAUUGCGCCCGCCAGUAUUCUGGCGGGCAUGCCUGUCCGAGCGUCAUUGCUGCCCUCAAGCACGGCUUGUGUGUUGGGCUUCCGUCCCUGGCAACGGGGACGGGCCCAAAAGGCAGUGGCGGCACCAUGUCUGGUCCUCGAGCGUAUGGGGCUUUGUCACCCGCUCCCGUAGGUCCAGCUGGCAGCUAGCCUCGCAACCAAUCUUUUUAACCAGGUUGACCUCGGAUCAGGUAGGGAUACCCGCUGAACUUAAGCAUAUCAAUAAGCGGAGGA